GGUUAAGCGACUAAGCGUACACGGUGGAUGCCCUGGCAGUCAGAGGCGAUGAAGGACGUGCUAAUCUGCGAUAAGCGUCGGUAAGGUGAUAUGAACCGUUAUAACCGGCGAUUUCCGAAUGGGGAAACCCAGUGUGAUUCGUCACACUAUCAUUAACUGAAUCCAUAGGUUAAUGAGGCGAACCGGGGGAACUGAAACAUCUAAGUACCCCGAGGAAAAGAAAUCAACCGAGAUUCCCCCAGUAGCGGCGAGCGAACGGGGAGCAGCCCAGAGCCUGAAUCAGUGUGUGUGUUAGUGGAAGCGUCUGGAAAGGCGCGCGAUACAGGGUGACAGCCCCGUACACAAAAAUGCACAUGCUGUGAGCUCGAUGAGUAGGGCGGGACACGUGGUAUCCUGUCUGAAUAUGGGGGGACCAUCCUCCAAGGCUAAAUACUCCUGACUGACCGAUAGUGAACCAGUACCGUGAGGGAAAGGCGAAAAGAACCCCGGCGAGGGGAGUGAAAAAGAACCUGAAACCGUGUACGUACAAGCAGUGGGAGCACAGAGCAAUCUGUGUGACUGCGUACCUUUUGUAUAAUGGGUCAGCGACUUAUAUUCUGUAGCAAGGUUAACCGAAUAGGGGAGCCGAAGGGAAACCGAGUCUUAACUGGGCGUUAAGUUGCAGGGUAUAGACCCGAAACCCGGUGAUCUAGCCAUGGGCAGGUUGAAGGUUGGGUAACACUAACUGGAGGACCGAACCGACUAAUGUUGAAAAAUUAGCGGAUGACUUGUGGCUGGGGGUGAAAGGCCAAUCAAACCGGGAGAUAGCUGGUUCUCCCCGAAAGCUAUUUAGGUAGCGCCUCGUGAAUUCAUCUCCGGGGGUAGAGCACUGUUUCGGCAAGGGGGUCAUCCCGACUUACCAACCCGAUGCAAACUGCGAAUACCGGAGAAUGUUAUCACGGGAGACACACGGCGGGUGCUAACGUCCGUCGUGAAGAGGGAAACAACCCAGACCGCCAGCUAAGGUCCCAAAGUCAUGGUUAAGUGGGAAACGAUGUGGGAAGGCCCAGACAGCCAGGAUGUUGGCUUAGAAGCAGCCAUCAUUUAAAGAAAGCGUAAUAGCUCACUGGUCGAGUCGGCCUGCGCGGAAGAUGUAACGGGGCUAAACCAUGCACCGAAGCUGCGGCAGCGACACUAUGUGUUGUUGGGUAGGGGAGCGUUCUGUAAGCCUGUGAAGGUGUGCUGUGAGGCAUGCUGGAGGUAUCAGAAGUGCGAAUGCUGACAUAAGUAACGAUAAAGCGGGUGAAAAGCCCGCUCGCCGGAAGACCAAGGGUUCCUGUCCAACGUUAAUCGGGGCAGGGUGAGUCGACCCCUAAGGCGAGGCCGAAAGGCGUAGUCGAUGGGAAACAGGUUAAUAUUCCUGUACUUGGUGUUACUGCGAAGGGGGGACGGAGAAGGCUAUGUUGGCCGGGCGACGGUUGUCCCGGUUUAAGCGUGUAGGCUGGUUUUCCAGGCAAAUCCGGAAAAUCAAGGCUGAGGCGUGAUGACGAGGCACUACGGUGCUGAAGCAACAAAUGCCCUGCUUCCAGGAAAAGCCUCUAAGCAUCAGGUAACAUCAAAUCGUACCCCAAACCGACACAGGUGGUCAGGUAGAGAAUACCAAGGCGCUUGAGAGAACUCGGGUGAAGGAACUAGGCAAAAUGGUGCCGUAACUUCGGGAGAAGGCACGCUGAUAUGUAGGUGAAGUCCCUCGCGGAUGGAGCUGAAAUCAGUCGAAGAUACCAGCUGGCUGCAACUGUUUAUUAAAAACACAGCACUGUGCAAACACGAAAGUGGACGUAUACGGUGUGACGCCUGCCCGGUGCCGGAAGGUUAAUUGAUGGGGUCAGCGCAAGCGAAGCUCUUGAUCGAAGCCCCGGUAAACGGCGGCCGUAACUAUAACGGUCCUAAGGUAGCGAAAUUCCUUGUCGGGUAAGUUCCGACCUGCACGAAUGGCGUAAUGAUGGCCAGGCUGUCUCCACCCGAGACUCAGUGAAAUUGAACUCGCUGUGAAGAUGCAGUGUACCCGCGGCAAGACGGAAAGACCCCGUGAACCUUUACUAUAGCUUGACACUGAACAUUGAGCCUUGAUGUGUAGGAUAGGUGGGAGGCUUUGAAGUGUGGACGCCAGUCUGCAUGGAGCCGACCUUGAAAUACCACCCUUUAAUGUUUGAUGUUCUAACGUGGACCCGUAAUCCGGGUUGCGGACAGUGUCUGGUGGGUAGUUUGACUGGGGCGGUCUCCUCCUAAAGAGUAACGGAGGAGCACGAAGGUUGGCUAAUCCUGGUCGGACAUCAGGAGGUUAGUGCAAUGGCAUAAGCCAGCUUGACUGCGAGCGUGACGGCGCGAGCAGGUGCGAAAGCAGGUCAUAGUGAUCCGGUGGUUCUGAAUGGAAGGGCCAUCGCUCAACGGAUAAAAGGUACUCCGGGGAUAACAGGCUGAUACCGCCCAAGAGUUCAUAUCGACGGCGGUGUUUGGCACCUCGAUGUCGGCUCAUCACAUCCUGGGGCUGAAGUAGGUCCCAAGGGUAUGGCUGUUCGCCAUUUAAAGUGGUACGCGAGCUGGGUUUAGAACGUCGUGAGACAGUUCGGUCCCUAUCUGCCGUGGGCGCUGGAGAAUUGAGGGGGGCUGCUCCUAGUACGAGAGGACCGGAGUGGACGCAUCACUGGUGUUCGGGUUGUCAUGCCAAUGGCACUGCCCGGUAGCUAAAUGCGGAAGAGAUAAGUGCUGAAAGCAUCUAAGCACGAAACUUGCCCCGAGAUGAGUUCUCCCUGACUCCUUGAGAGUCCUGAAGGAACGUUGAAGACGACGACGUUGAUAGGCCGGGUGUGUAAGCGCAGCGAUGCGUUGAGCUAACCGGUACUAAUGAACCGUGAGGCUUAACCUU
rnacentral:rRNA from 1 species